CAAACCUGCUACCUGUACUGGAUCAUUAUGUCGUUACUUUUGUGAGUUUUAGCGUUAUAAAUAUGUAAACUUGAUAACUUUAAGUGACGUUACAAACAGACAAAAUGUCUGUCUUUCUCGCUGGGUCGCUUUGGUCAUGGGCUUGCUGUCUGGAGAGAUGCAUUUGCCAGCAUGGUGACACAAGGGGCUGUUUCUAUGACCUGAUCGAACCCCCUGCAGCACCAGAAGUUGUCCAGAGAAAGACCCUCAACACCCAGGCUGUGUUGGAUACGUUUUUACCGCAGACUGACAUAUGAACCUUCUGUGACCCUGAGGACAUCUGGGGCUGGCCUGUUGACUGUCCCAAGAGCCAGAACAAAACAUGGUGAAGCAGCAUUUUGUUAUCAUGCAGCACAAACCUGGAAUAACCUAGCUCAAAACGUGCCUUUU